AGUGAACGCUGGCGGUAGGCCUAACACAUGCAAGUCGAACGGCAGCACAGUAAGAGCUUGCUCUUACGGGUGGCGAGUGGCGGACGGGUGAGGCAUACAUCGGAAUCUACUUUUUCGUGGGGGAUAACGUAGGGAAACUUACGCUACUACCGCAUACGUCCUACGGGUGAAAGCAGGGGAUCUUCGGACCUUGCGCGAUUGAAUGAGCCGAUGUCGGAUUAGCUAGUUGGCGGGGUAAAGGCCCACCAAGGCGACGAUCCGUAGCUGGUCUGAGAGGAUGAUCAGCCACACUGGAACUGAGACACGGUCCAGACUCCUACGGGAGGCAGCAGUGGGGAAUAUUGGACAAUGGGCGCAAGCCUGAUCCAGCCAUACCGCGUGGGUGAAGAAGGCCUUCGGGUUGUAAAGCCCUUUUGUUGGGAAAGAAAAGCAGCAGGUGAAUACCCCGCUGUUCUGACGGUACCCAAAGAAUAAGCACCGGCUAACUUCGUG
rnacentral:rRNA from 1 species